rnacentral:lncRNA from 1 species
UUCCUCAUUAGAAGUUGCUCAUCAAUUAUUUCAUCUGCUUCUACUAUGGCAUUGAUAGAGUGGAUGGAUUUCUGAGUACAUUGGUGGCCAAUAUGAUACUUCUCCCCAUAUAUGUAGCAUAAGCCUGCUGCCUUUCUUUGUUCCCAUUACGGCCUUCCAGCUCCUUGAGGUAAGUUUGCGAUUCUAGUACUCUGGGGCUUGUGGACUUCCCCUUGGACAGCAAAUCUGAAAGCAUGAUGCCCAAUAAGUUGUGAGGGAAUUGUUUUAUUGGUCACUUUACUUUUCCUCCACAUUACUGCCAGUGUUUGUUCAUGUAAUUUAGCCUGUACAUAUACUUUUGUCAAUGUG